UACGUAGGGGGCAAGCGUUGUCCGGAAUUAUUGGGCGUAAAGGGCUCGUAGGCGGUUUGUCGCGUCGGGAGUGAAAACACCGGGCUUAACUCGGUGCUUGCUUUCGAUACGGGCAGACUAGAGGCAUGCAGGGGAGAACGGAAUUCCUGGUGUAGCGGUGAAAUGCGCAGAUAUCAGGAGGAACACCGGUGGCGAAGGCGGUGAGCUGGGCAGUAGCUGACACUGAGGCGCGACAGCGUGGGGAGCAAACAGG
rnacentral:rRNA from 1 species